rnacentral:rRNA from 1 species
AUGAUGUUUUCAAUCUUCCUCUGUCCCUCCAAGCGAGACAGGAAGUGCUUGAUCUUCAGCAAGUGUCUGCUCCUAUUGAUCCUGGGAAUGGUGGCUGUGAUUUUUGGCAGUGCGUAUGGGCCAGAGACUACACCUCCAGCUGCUACUAUUCUUUCUGUUUCAGGGAAGCUCAGGCAGACGAGGUGUUCAAAUGGAUUUGGAAAUCUGGUGGACAGAUUGAACACGAGGAAUACGCUGAAACGGAGAAAUUAUGCCAUAGCCGAUGAUAACUUUGAUUGCCUCCUGUGCACAGUACCUCCAGAAGAAACUUUGGUUCAUCUUUUCUUCCUUUGUGAUUUUGCUGCCAACUGUUGGAACGCAUUGGGGAUUACGUGGCCAGACACUCUGGACAGGUUCCAAAUGGUAGAGAGGCCUGGAGAAAACCCAUGUUCAUGGAAGUAUUCACUGUGGCUGCCUGGUGGAUCUGGAAGGAGAGGAGUGCUAAGCUAUUCAGAAAUGUGCCGCGCUCACAUUUAUCUAGGCUAG